AGGACGAACGCUGGCGGCGUGCUUAACACAUGCAAGUCGAACGAUGAACUCACCUUCGGGUGGGGGAUUAGUGGCGAACGGGUGAGUAACACGUGGGCAACCUGCCCCUGACUCUGGGAUAACUCCGGGAAACCGGAGCUAAUACCGGAUAUGAACACGAAGGACAUCCUUUGUGUUGGAAAGUUUUUCGGUCAGGGAUGGGCCCGCGGCCUAUCAGCUAGUUGGCGGGGUAAUGGCCCACCAAGGCGAAGACGGGUAGCUGGUCUGAGAGGAUGAUCAGCCACACUGGGACUGAGACACGGCCCAGACUCCUACGGGAGGCAGCAGUGGGGAAUAUUGGACAAUGGGCGAAAGCCUGAUCCAGCCAUGCCGCGUGAGUGAUGAAGGCCUUCGGGUCGUAAAGCUCUGUGGGGAGGGACGAAAAGCAGGACGCUAAUACCGGCCUGAAUUGACGGUACCUCCUUAGCAAGCACCGGCUAACUCCGUGCCAGCAGCCGC
rnacentral:rRNA from 1 species